rnacentral:rRNA from 1 species
UGGGGGAUAUUGCACAAUGGGCGAAAGCCUGAUGCAGCGACGCCGCGUGGGGGAUGAAGGCUUUCGGGUUGUAAACCUCUUUCGCUAUCGAACAAGGCCCGCUUAGGGUGGGUUGAGGGUAGGUGGAGAAGAAGCGCCGGCUAACUACGUGCCAGCAACCGCGGUAAUACGUAGGGCGCGAGCGUUGUCCGGAAUUAUUGGGCGUAAAGGGCUUGUAGGCGGCUUGUUGCGCCUGCUGUGAAAACGCGGGGCUUAACUUCGCGCGUGCAGUGGGUACGGGCAGGCUUGAGUGUGGUAGGGGUGACUGGAAUUCCCGGUGUAGCGGUGAAAUGCGCAGAUAUCUGGAGGAACACCGAUGGCGAAGGCAGGUCACUGGGCCAUUACUGACGCUGAGGAGCGAAAGCAUGGGUAGCGAACAGG